rnacentral:rRNA from 1 species
AGUGAACGCUGGCGGUAGGCCUAACACAUGCAAGUCGAACGGCAGCACAGUAAGAGCUUGCUCUUACGGGUGGCGAGUGGCGGACGGGUGAGGAAUACAUCGGAAUCUACUUUUUCGUGGGGGAUAACGUAGGGAAACUUACGCUAAUACCGCAUACGACCUACGGGUGAAAGCAUGGGAUCUUCGGACCUUGCGCGAUUGAAUGAGCCGAUGUCGGAUUAGCUAGUUGGCGGGGUAAAGGCCCACCAAGGCGACGAUCCGUAGCUGGUCUGAGAGGAUGAUCAGCCACACUGGAACUGAGACACGGUCCAGACUCCUACGGGAGGCAGCAGUGGGGAAUAUUGGACAAAGGGCGCAAGCCUGAUCCAGCCAUACCGCGUGGGUGAAGAAGGCCUUCGGGUUGUAAAGCCCUUUUGUUGGGAAAGAAAAGCAGCAGGUUAAUACCUCGCUGUUCUGACGGUACCCAAAGAAUAAGCACCGGCUAACUUCGUG